CUUUAUCCUAGACACACUGUGGGUAUGCCAAAAUUACUACCAAGACCCCAAAUGGAGGCUUCACACCCCAAUCAGGCUCACAGUACCAGUGCCCAGGAAAGAAUAACAUAGGUCAGCAUGUGAGCGUAUAUCAAGCCAGGCCUGAGAAGAUGCAGCUGGUCGGACUCACCCCAGGAACUGGAUGGUCAGACUGGACCCUCCUCCUCCUCCCUAAAUUGGCUAUUCACCUCUGCUCUCGACAUCCACCUCCCAUGUGCUUGCUUCCUGCUCGUUUUGGGACACCGACUCUCUGGCUCCACAGCUGUCCAUAAGAAGCCGUCCCCAUUCCAGUCUCUUGGGAAAGCCAAUGGCUGUGGCUGCUUUCUCUAUUUCUCAGUGGAAACCAGGCAGCUUUUCUUCAAAGAAAUGAUGCCUGGGGUGGCUCCUGGGUGUCCCCACAUAGCACCAGCUGUUCCUGG
rnacentral:lncRNA from 1 species